AUUGAACGCUGGCGGCAGGCCUAACACAUGCAAGUCGAGCGGAUGACGGGAGCUUGCUCCUUGAUUCAGCGGCGGACGGGUGAGUAAUGCCUAGGAAUCUGCCUGGUAGUGGGGGACAACGUUUCGAAAGGAACGCUAAUACCGCAUACGUCCUACGGGAGAAAGUGGGGGAUCUUCGGACCUCACGCUAUCAGAUGAGCCUAGGUCGGAUUAGCUAGUUGGUGAGGUAAAGGCUCACCAAGGCGACGAUCCGUAACUGGUCUGAGAGGAUGAUCAGUCACACUGGAACUGAGACACGGUCCAGACUCCUACGGGAGGCAGCAGUGGGGAAUAUUGGACAAUGGGCGAAAGCCUGAUCCAGCCAUGCCGCGUGUGUGAAGAAGGUCUUCGGAUUGUAAAGCACUUUAAGUUGGGAGGAAGGGCAGUAAGUUAAUACCUUGCUGUUUUGACGUUACCAACGGAAUAAGCACCGGCUAACUUCGUGCCAGCCGCCGCAGUAACAC
rnacentral:rRNA from 1 species